UACGAAGGGUGCAAGCGUUACUCGGAAUUACUGGGCGUAAAGCGUGCGUAGGUGGUUUGUUAAGUCUGAUGUGAAAGCCCUGGGCUCAACCUGGGAAUUGCAUUGGAUACUGGCAGGCUAGAGUGCGGUAGAGGGUAGUGGAAUUCCCGGUGUAGAGGUGAAAUUCGUAGAUAUCGGGAGGAACACCAGUGGCGAAGGCGGCCACCUGGAUGGAUACUGACGCUGAGACGCGAAAGCGUGGGGAGCAAACAGG
rnacentral:rRNA from 1 species